UUUGCAGUUGUGUGUGAUUGGUGAGGGGGCAACCCUUUGCCAUGAUCAUGCGGCUGUAGGGUAAUACUAGUGGCAAACGGGUGAGUAAUACAUAAGCAAUUUACCCUCAAGAGGGAGAUAAUUUCGAGAAAUCGGAACUAAUAUCCCGUAACGUGCCGGGGAGAUAACUUCCUGGUAUCAAAGGUGUAUCGCAAGAUAUGCCGCCUGAGGAUAAGCUUGUGUCCUAUCAGCUAGUUGGCGGGGUAACGGCCCACCAAGGCUACGACGGGUAGCUGGUUUGAAAGAAUGGUCAGCCACAGUGGCACUGAGACACGGGCCACACUCCUACGGGAGGCAGCAGUGGGGAAUAUUGGACAAUGGGCGAAAGCCUGAUCCAGCGACACCGCGUGGAGGAUGAAGGUCUUCGGAUUGUAAACUCCUUUUAGGGAUGAUGAACUCUGGUGUAUAACCAGGGUGACAGUAAUCCCAGAAAAAGUUGCGGCUAACUACGUGCCAGCAGCCGCGGUAAUUCGUAGGCAACGAGCGUUACUCGGAAUUACUAGGCGUAAAGCGCAAGUAGGUGGUUUGAUAAGUUGAUGGUGAAAGCUCCGAUAAAAUCGGAGACGAACUUCAAAACUAUCAGACUUGAGUAUAGAAUGGGGAACCAGAAUUCCAGGUGUAGCGGUGAAAUGCGUAAAUAUCUGGAGGAAUACCUAUGGCGAAAGCGGGUUCCUGGGCUAUUACUGACACUGAGUUGCGAAGACGUGGGGAGCAAACAGGAUUAGAUACCCUGGUAGUCCACGUAGUAAACGAUGGAAACUGGAUAUAGGAGGUAUCGACCCCUUCUGUGUCGAAGCUAACGCGUUAAGUUUCCCACCUGGGGAGUACGGCCGCAAGGUUGAAACUCAAAAGAAUUGACGGGGGCCCGCACAAGCGGUGGAGCAUGUGGUUUAAUCCGACCAACGCGAGGAACCUUACCUGGGCUUGAAGAACUAGUGUUACGAAGGUGAAAACCUUAGGACCCGCAAGGGAGCUAGUAGAGGUGCUGCAUGGCUGUCGUCAGCUCGUGUCGUGAGAUGUAUGGUUAAGUCCUAUAACGAGCGCAACCCUUGUCUCAUGUUGCUAACUUCGCAAGAAGAGUACUCUUGAGAGACUGCUCCGGUUAACGGAGAGGAAGGUGAGGAUGACGUCAAGUCAUCAUGGCCUUUAUGUCCAGGGCCACACACGUGCUACAAUGGCUACUAUAAAGGGAAACCAAUACGCAAGUAGGAGUAAACCCCUAAAAAGUAGCCCCAGUUCAGAUUGAGGGCUGCAACUCGCCCUCGUGAAGUAGGAAUCGCUAGUAAUCGCAAAUCAGCAGGUUGCGGUGAAUACGUUCCCGGGCCUUGUACACACCGCC
rnacentral:rRNA from 1 species